rnacentral:rRNA from 1 species
UACGUAGGGGGCUAGCGUUGUCCGGAAUCAUUGGGCGUAAAGCGCGCGUAGGCGGCCCGGUAAGUCCGCUGUGAAAGUCCAGGGCUCAACCCUGGAAAGCCGGUGGAUACUGCCGGGCUAGAGUCCGGGAGAGGCGAGUGGAAUUCCUGGUGUAGCGGUGAAAUGCGUAGAGAUCGGAAGGAACAUCAGUGGCGAAGGCGACUGUCUGGACAGAUACUGACGCUGAGGCGCGAAAGCGUGGGGAGCAAACAGG